rnacentral:rRNA from 1 species
GACAGAGGGUGCAAACGUUGCUCGGAAUUACUGGGCGUAAAGCGCAUGUAGGCGGCAACGCAAGUCGGGCGUGAAAUCCCACGGCUCAACCGUGGAAGUGCACUCGAAACUGCGUAGCUAGAGUCCUGGAGAGGAAGGUGGAAUGCUUGGUGUAGAGGUGAAAUUCGUAGAUAUCAAGCGGAACACCGGUGGCGAAGGCGGCCUUCUGGACAGUGACUGACGCUGAGAUGCGAAAGCGUGGGGAGCAAACAGG